AACGAACGCUGGCGGCAGGCUUAACACAUGCAAGUCGAGCGCCCCGCAAGGGGAGCGGCAGACGGGUGAGUAACGCGUGGGAAUCUACCCAUCACUACGGAACAACUCCGGGAAACUGGAGCUAAUACCGUAUACGUCCUUCGGGAGAAAGAUUUAUCGGUAAUGGAUGAGCCCGCGUUGGAUUAGCUAGUUGGUGGGGUAAAGGCCUACCAAGGCGACGAUCCAUAGCUGGUCUGAGAGGAUGAUCAGCCACACUGGGACUGAGACACGGCCCAGACUCCUACGGGAGGCAGCAGUGGGGAAUAUUGGACAAUGGGCGAAAGCCUGAUCCAGCCAUGCCGCGUGAGUGAUGAAGGCCCUAGGGUUGUAAAGCUCUUUCACCGGUGAAGAUAAUGACGGUAACCGGAGAAGAGGCCCCGGCUAACUUCGUGCCAGCCGCCGCAGUAACAC
rnacentral:rRNA from 1 species